GAUGAACGCUGGCGGCGUGCCUAAUACAUGCAAGUCGAGCGAACAGACGAGGAGCUUGCUCCUCUGACGUUAGCGGCGGACGGGUGAGUAACACGUGGAUAACCUACCUAUAAGACUGGGAUAACUUCGGGAAACCGGAGCUAAUACCGGAUAAUAUAUUGAACCGCAUGGUUCAAUAGUGAAAGACGGUUUUGCUGUCACUUAUAGAUGGAUCCGCGCCGCAUUAGCUAGUUGGUAAGGUAACGGCUUACCAAGGCAACGAUGCGUAGCCGACCUGAGAGGGUGAACGGCCACACUUGAACUGAGACACGGUCCAGACUCCUACGGGAGGCAGCAGUAGGGAAUCUUCCGCAAUGGGCGAAAGCUUGACGGAGCAACGCCGCGUGAGUGAUGAAGGUCUUCGGAUCGUAAAACUUUGUUAUUAGGGAAGAACAAAUGUGUAAGUAACUAUGCACGUCUUGACGGUACCUAAACAGAAAGCCACGGCUAACUACGUG
rnacentral:rRNA from 1 species